rnacentral:rRNA from 1 species
UACGUAGGGUCCGAGCGUUGUCCGGAAUUAUUGGGCGUAAAGAGCGAGCAGGCGGUUUGGAAAGUUGGACGUGAAAUUUUAGGGCUUAACCCUAAAGGGUCGUCCAAAACUCCCAGACUAGAGUGCAGGAGAGGAAAGCGGAAUUCCCGGUGUAGUGGUGAAAUGCGUAGAUAUCGGGAGGAACACCAGAGGCGAAGGCGGCUUUCUGGCCUGUAACUGACGCUGAGGCGCGAAGGCUGGGGUAGCGAACGGG